rnacentral:rRNA from 1 species
UGGUGAAGUGAUUUGUCUGCUUAAUUGCGAUAACGAACGAGACCUUAACCUGCUAAAUAGCCAGGCUAGCUUUGGCUGGUCGCCGGCCUCUUAGAGGGACUAUCGGCUCAAGCCGAUGGAAGUUUGAGGCAAUAACA